rnacentral:rRNA from 1 species
CUACGGGGUGCUCCAGUGAGGAAUAUUGCACAAUGGGGGGAACCCUGAUGCAGCAACGCCGCGUGGAGGAUGACGCAUUUCGGUGUGUAAACUCCUUUUAUAUGUCAAGAAAAUGAUGGUAGCAUAUGAAUAAGCACCGGCUAACUCCGUGCCAGCAGCCGCGGUAAUACGGAGGGUGCAAGCGUUACUCGGAAUCACUGGGCGUAAAGGACGCGUAGGCGGGUUGGAAAGUCAGGUGUGAAAUCCUACAGCUUAACUGUAGAACUGCACUUGAAACUUCUAAUCUAGAGUAUGGGAGGGGGAGACGGAAUUAGUGGUGUAGGGGUAAAAUCCGUAGAUAUCACUAGGAAUACCUAAAGCGAAGGCGAUCUCCUGGAACAUUACUGACGCUAAGGCGUGAAAGCGUGGGGAGCAAACAGGAUUAGAUACCCCGGUAGUC